rnacentral:rRNA from 1 species
AUGGUGCUUCGCAGGGAGAACGGAUCUACAAUUUUUGCGGCAUACAGAUACAUUUUCCGCUGUAAUGAUGCCCUGGAAGCGGAAAUUCAUGCUAUUAUGCAGGGUAUGGCACCGGCCAUUCAACAUUCGGAAUGCCCAGUGAUUGUUCAAUCAGACUCUUCAAAUGCUCUGGCCAUUCUCUCGAGCGACAAUCUUUUCAGGUCGGCCUAUGGUCAUCUAGCUGCUGAAAUUAAAGCUCAUUUGGUAGUUAGGAAGUUUGUUCCUCUAAAAGUUAGCAGAUAUCAAAAUAGGGUAGCACAUCAAUUGGCACACUAUAGCCGUACUGAAGCUUGUACUGCGGUAUGGUUGAACUCGAUUCCUCCGUGGUGUGAGGAAUUGGUGUCUCGUGAUUGUAACCCUCUCAUUGUGGAAUAA